rnacentral:tRNA from 4 species
CGGGGCGUAGCGCAGUUGGUAGCGCAUCUGGUUUGGGACCAGAGGGUCGCUGGUUCGAGUCCAGUCGCCCCGA